UACGGAAGGGGCAAGCGUUGUUCGGAAUCAUUGGGCGUAAAGGGCGCGUAGGUGGUUCUGUAUGUCUACCGUGAAAGCGUACGGCUCAACCGUAUUUUGUCGGUGGAAACUGCAGGACUUGAGGCUGGGAGGGGCUGGUGGAAUUCCCUGUGUAGCGGUGAAAUGCGUAGAGAUGGGGGAGAACACUCGUGGCGAAGGCGGCCAGCUAGACCAGUUCUGACACUGAGGCACGAAAGUGUGGGGAUCAAACAGG
rnacentral:rRNA from 1 species